GAUGAACGCUGGCGGCGUGCCUAAUACAUGCAAGUCGAGCGAACGGACGAGAAGCUUGCUUCUCUGAUGUUAGCGGCGGACGGGUGAGUAACACGUGGAUAACCUACCUAUAAGACUGGGAUAACUUCGGGAAACCGGAGCUAAUACCGGAUGAUAUUUUGAACCGCAGGGUUCAAAAGUGAAAGACGGUCUUGCUGUCACUUAUAGAUGGAUCCGCGCUGCAUUAGCUAGUUGGUAAGGUAACGGCUUACCAAGGCAACGAUGCAUAGCCGACCGGAGAGGGUGAUCGGCGACAUUGGAACUGAGACACGGACCAGACUCCUACGGGAGGCAGCAGUAGGGAAUCUGCCGCAAUGGGCGAAAGCCUGACGGAGCAACGCCGCGUGAGUGAUGAAGGUCUUGGGAUCGUAAAACUCGGUUAUUAGGGAAGAACAGAUGUGUAAGUAAAUGUGGAGAGCUUGACGGUACCUAAUAAGAAAGCCACGGCUAACUACGUG
rnacentral:rRNA from 1 species